GCAACAACGAGUUAACAGAACUGCUGCUGCUGUUGGUGCCGCGCUAUGGAGGAGCUCAUCAAGAUGACUUAAAUUGGAAUCUUUUAGCUAGGUACGUUGCUACGCUGGAGAUGGAAGCACUCAACUCGACGCUUCUGCCGGAGCAUCCGCGCACACGAUAGAACAAGUUGUAAACUAAUAAAACUGAACUAGCAUUUUGGGAUGGGUUAUCGUUGAUUAAAAGCCAGAACACGGUGCGUGUUUCAUCUGGUGGAACAGCAAAGUUGGUGCCGUUCUGGAGGUGUAAUCGAGUUAAACGCAAUUAAGCAGGUGGAUAGCUGCAACGAAGUGGAUUACAUUAUAUUGUGGGACUCUGCCAGAGCGAGAGCCGAGGAAGGACAGUUCAACAGAAUGGGAACCCAAUUAUGCAGUUAUUAAUUCAUCAACCUGAAAUAACAAUUUCCGUUGAAGUGGCCCUAUCCUGAGUCAUCCCGAGACGGCUAGAGCUCCAUUUGCAUAGAUAAAAUAAACAAUCAAAUUACAGCGAGAAAGCAUAAUCUGCCCGAUGGGACGGCAGACAGGAAUCAUCUUUAUUUUCAUUCCCUCUCAAGGCUAAGUCAAGCGUUGUGAAAUUCUAGCAUCUCAGCCUAAAAGAAAAAAUUCAAAGGGAAGUUCAUUCCACAGUUUGCUUACAGUGGAAGAAGCAAAGAUUAUGCAUCGAAAAGACUGGCAACUCUCGGCUAAGAAGUUCAGAUCCUAGAAAUGAAGGAAAUGUAACGAUUUCGCCAUUCCUCUAAAACAUGCUGUCUCCAUUUAUAGGCAACUCCCAGAAGAGACCAUCGCUGAAGAACGCGAUUCGGGGUCACGAGCACGACGAUCCAAAACUGGGAAACGAUGACAGGCAGGAAAACGAAAACACAGAGAUAAAAAAAAGUUCAAAACCAUAUUCCGAUCCAGUCAAGUGGAAAAUAAAUGUUUUUCAUUGAUUUUUAUUCGCUUCCGCUAUUGAUAUCUCAAUCGACAAUUGAACUGGCAUUGGAAUUC